UACGUAGGGUGCGAGCGUUGUCCGGAAUUACUGGGCGUAAAGCGCGUGUAGGCGGCUUCGCGAGUCCGAUGUGAAAACUCGGGGCUCAACCCCGAGCCUGCAGUCGAUACGGGCAGACUAGAGUGCUGUAGGGGAGACUGGAAUUCCUGGUGUAGCGGUGAAAUGCGCAGAUAUCAGGAGGAACACCGGUGGCGAAGGCGGGUCUCUGGGCAGUAACUGACGCUGAGGAGCGAAAGCGUGGGGAGCGAACAGG
rnacentral:rRNA from 1 species